GAAGCUCAUUAUGAAUCCAGUUUCCAUUUCCAAAGUCAACCAAGGCCACAUACUGAAACUGUCUCAAAAAGGAAGACAAAAAGUUAAAGGGACCUCGCAUUGGCCACGGUCUUCUGAGUUUGGGGUAACCAGCCAGGGGAGGGAAUGCCGGCUGUGAUGGUUGGUUUUUAUGGUCCACUUGACACGCAAAGCCACCUCGGAAGGGAGUCUCAGUGAGGAAUGUUCUAGAUUUGGUUGGCUUGCAGACAUGCAAGAUUUUCUUAACUGAGGUGAGAAGACCCAUCCUGAAUGUGAGUGACAGCAUUUCAUGGGCUGGAGCCAGGAUCAAAGGAGAAAGAGCAGGCUGAGCAGGCAUUCACCUUUGAUGGUGAGUAUCCUGUGACCAGCUGCUUCAGGUUCCUGCCACUGACUCUCCUGUAGUAAUGGAUUCUAACUUCAAAUUAUAAGCCUAAUGUCUGCCAAUAGGUGUUAUCAUGCUUUAGGGUUCUCUAAAGGAACAGGACUAGUGAUAGCAUGAAUGAAUAUAAAGAGAGAGUACUG
ensembl:processed_transcript